rnacentral:lncRNA from 1 species
UAUAAUACAAUAAAUGUAUAUAUACAGUUUUAUAUAUAACAACUAUUAUACAUAUAAUACAAUUAUAUAUAUAGCUAACAUCAGGAUAGGCUGGUUGAGGAUUUAUAUGAAUCUUUGCUAAUUUUGCAUGUUUAAAAUUAUUUCAACAUAAAAAAAUUAUAUGGGUCAUGUAGUUUUUUGUGCAGUUUAAUUCUAGGCACCAUAGUUUCUGUUUUAAUGGGUGUAUUUUCUUCUUUCAAGGAAUUGGGAUAGUCUGUUGUAUUAAAAACCUAUUCAUUUUUGUACAUUAAGAUUCUUCUGGCCAGGCGCAAUGGCUCAAGCCUAUAAUCCCAGCACUUGGGAACCUGAGGCAGGCAGAUCACCUGAGGUCAGGAGUUCAAGACCAGCAUGUCCAACAUGGUGAAACCCCAUCUCUACUAAAAAUACAAAAAAAAUUAGCCAGGCAUGGUGGCACAUGCCUGUAAUCCCAGCUACUUGGGAGGCUGAGGAGGAGACUCACUAGAACUCAGGAAGCAGAGGUUGCAGUGAGCCAAGACUGCGCCACUGCACUCUGGCCUAAGCAACAGAGGGAGACUCCAUCUCAAAAAAAAAAAAAGAUUAUUUCUCUAACUUACUGGUUUAUCUUUUAUAGCUUAUUUCAGGUGAUUUGUUGUGUUUGUCUAUAGAGUAAAAUAACAUGUCUAAUGAGUUAUAAUUUAAUGUCCUUCCAUUCAAUCACUGUAUUUCAAAUUUAUUCCAAUAUUUUGGAAUAAGCUUCCAAUAUUUUAACUUAAAUAGGGAAGGUCAUACUUGGUAUUUUCCUGACCUCAGCUGGAAUGCCUUCAUAGUGUUCACAUGAACACAUUUGGCCUGAGAGAGACUUAUUAUGCCGAGAAUGUGUGUAACCCUUUUUACUUAGGAAUUGUGGGUGGAGUUUUUCCCCCCGCCCAAGAAUGAUUGUUAAUUUCCGUCCAUCAUUUUCCUUUGAUUGUUCUUCAUCUCGAAAACAAAUAAUAAAAUAAUAAAAUAAAUAAAUAAAACUUACUGGUCUUCUCACCUAUUUUCUUGCAGUGCCUUUAAGCAAUGCUCUGCCA